GAUGAACGCUGGCGGCGUGCCUAAUACAUGCAAGUCGAGCGAACAGACGAGGAGCUUGCUCCUUCGACGUUAGCGGCGGACGGGUGAGUAACACGUAGGUAACCUACCUAUAAGACUGGGAUAACUUCGGGAAACCGGAGCUAAUACCGGAUAAUAUUUCGAACCGCAUGGUUCGAUAGUGAAAGAUGGCUUUGCUAUCACUAUAGAUGGACCUGCGCCGUAUUAGCUAGUUGGUAAGGUAACGGCUUACCAAGGCAACGAUACGUAGCCGACCUGAGAGGGUGAUCGGCCACACUGGAACUGAGACACGGUCCAGACUCCUACGGGAGGCAGCAGUAGGGAAUCUUCCGCAAUGGGCGAAAGCCUGACGGAGCAACGCCGCGUGAGUGAUGAAGGUCUUCGGAUCGUAAAACUCUGUUAUUAGGGAAGAACAAACGUGUAAGUAACUGUGCACGUCUUGACGGUACCUAAUCAGAAAGCCACGGCUAACUACGUG
rnacentral:rRNA from 1 species